rnacentral:rRNA from 1 species
AUUGAACGCUGGCGGCAUGCUUUACACAUGCAAGUCGAACGGUAACAGGGUGCUUGCACCGCUGACGAGUGGCGAACGGGUGAGUAAUGCGUCGGAACGUGCCGAGUAGUGGGGGAUAACGCAGCGAAAGUUGUGCUAAUACCGCAUACGUACUGAGGUAGAAAGUGGGGGACCUUCGGGCCUCACGCUAUUCGAGCGGCCGACGUCUGAUUAGCUAGUAGGUGAGGUAAAGGCUCACCUAGGCGACGAUCAGUAGCGGGUCUGAGAGGAUGAUCCGCCACACUGGGACUGAGACACGGCCCAGACUCCCACGGGAGUCAGCAGUGGGGAAUUUUGGACAAUGGGCGAAAGCCUGAUCCAGCCAUGCCGCGUGUCUGAAGAAGGCCUUCGGGUUGUAAAGGACUUUUGUCAGGGAGGAAAUCCCUAGUGCUAAUAACACUGGGGGAUGACAGUACCUGAAGAAUAAGCACCGGCUAACUACGUGCCAGCCGCCGCGGUAA